rfam:Triticum urartu cultivar G1812 contig1349410, whole genome shotgun sequence.
CAUGUACUCCCUUCGUCCCAAAUUACUUGUCGCGGGUAUGGAUGUAUCUAGAUGUAUUUUAGUUAUAGAUACAUCAAUUUCUAUCCAUUUCUGCGACGAGUAAUUUGGGACGGAGGGAGUACAUA